AUUGAACGCUGGCGGCAGGCCUAACACAUGCAAGUCGAGCGGAUGAAGGGAGCUUGCUCCUGGAUUCAGCGGCGGACGGGUGAGUAAUGCCUAGGGAUCUGCCUGGUAGUGGGGGAUAACGUCCGGAAACGGGCGCUAAUACCGCAUACGUCCUGAGGGAGAAAGUGGGGGAUCUUCGGACCUCACGCUAUCAGAUGAGCCUAGGUCGGAUUAGCUAGUUGGUGGGGUAAAGGCCUACCAAGGCGACGAUCCGUAACUGGUCUGAGAGGAUGAUCAGUCACACUGGAACUGAGACACGGUCCAGACUCCUACGGGAGGCAGCAGUGGGGAAUAUUGGACAAUGGGCGAAAACCUGAUCCAGCCAUGCCGCGUGUGUGAAGAAGGUCUUCGGAUUGUAAAGCACUUUAAGUUGGGAGGAAGGGCAGUAAGUUAAUACCUUGCUGUUUUGACGUUACCAACAGAAUAAGCACCGGCUAACUUCGUG
rnacentral:rRNA from 1 species